rnacentral:rRNA from 1 species
UAGGGAAUCUUCCGCAAUGGACGAAAGUCUGACGGAGCAACGCCGCGUGAGUGAAGAAGGAUUUCGGUUCGUAAAACUCUGUUGUUAGGGAAGAAAAAAUGUAUAGUAACUAUAUACAAAAGAGACGGUACCUAACCAGAAAGCCACGGCUAACUACGUGCCAGCAGCCGCGGUAAUACGUAGGUGGCAAGCGUUGUCCGGAAUUAUUGGGCGUAAAGCGCGCGCAGGUGGUUUAGAAAGUCUGAUGUGAAAGCCUACGGCUCAACCGUGGAGGGUCAUUGGAAACUAAUAAACUUGAGUGCAGGAGAGAAAAGUGGAAUUCCUAGUGUAGCGGUGGAAUGCGCAGAUAUUAGGAAGAACACCGGUGGCGAAGGCGGCCUUCUGGGCCAUAACUGACGCUGAGGAGCGAAAGCUAGGGGAGCGAACAGG